rnacentral:piRNA from 1 species
UGUGAAUACAAUAUAUAAAAA